rnacentral:rRNA from 1 species
UACGUAGGUGGCAAGCGUUGUCCGGAUUUACUGGGCGUAAAGGGCGCGUAGGCGGCCAGCACAAGUCAGUUGUGAAAUCUCCGAGCUUAACUCGGAAAGGUCAACUGAUACUGUGCGGCUAGAGUGCGGAAGGGGCAACUGGAAUUCUUGGUGUAGCGGUGAAAUGCGUAGAUAUCAAGAGGAACACCUGCGGCGAAGGCGGGUUGCUGGGCCGACACUGACGCUGAGGCGCGAAAGCCAGGGGAGCGAACGGG